rnacentral:rRNA from 1 species
UACAGAGGGUGCGAGCGUUAAUCGGAAUUACUGGGCGUAAAGCGCACGUAGGCGGCUUGGUAUGUCGGGUGUGAAAUCCCCGGGCUCAACCUGGGAACUGCAUCCGAAACUGCCUUGCUAGAGUAUGGGAGAGGGAAGUGGAAUUUCCGGUGUAGCGGUGAAAUGCGUAGAUAUCGGAAGGAACAUCAGUGGCGAAGGCGACUUCCUGGACCAAUACUGACGCUCAGGUGCGAAAGCGUGGGGAGCGAACAGG